AUGGCGACAAGGUAUCUGAUACUGUCCCUACCUACGGGCGAGGAGGAUGCUGGUGCCUCAAAGUAUGCAGACUCUUUUUGGGAUGAAUUGCACAGAUCCCUGUCAGGCUUGCACGUACCACUCUACAGGCUCAACGUUCCAAAAUUCCGAAGAACUACACUUAAUGUUCUGGAUGGCGUCGCAGACAGCCUUACCAAUUUAAAUGCAGAAGUACAAGACCUCUGCAAUACCAUCCAUCAGUAUAUCAUGGAGAUUGGGAGUGUCUCCGCAUCAAAACAAAAGAGUACUGCAGUCACAAUCGGUGGUCUCUCCAUGGAUGAUUGUAUAUCAAUGUUUCUAUAG
rnacentral:rRNA from 1 species